rnacentral:rRNA from 1 species
UCGGGAAUUUUGGGCAAUGGGCGAAAGCCUGACCCAGCAACGCCGCGUGAAGGAUGAAGUAUUUCGGUAUGUAAACUUCGAAAGAAUAGGAAGAAUAAAUGACGGUACUAUUUAUAAGGUCCGGCUAACUACGUGCCAGCAGUCGCGGUAAUACGGAGGGAGCUAGCGUUGUUCGGAAUUACUGGGCGUAAAGCGUACGUAGGCGGUGACUCAAGUCAGAGGUGAAAGCCUGGAGCUCAACUCCAGAACUGCCUUUGAAACUAGGUCGCUAGAAUCACGGAGAGGUGAGUGGAAUUCCGAGUGUAGAGGUGAAAUUCGUAGAUAUUCGGAAGAACACCAGUGGCGAAGGCGGCUCACUGGACGUGUAUUGACGCUGAGGUACGAAAGCGUGGGGAGCAAACAGGAUUAGAUACCCCAGUAGUCCCUGAGCGGGCUGGCAAGGCGCAU